rnacentral:rRNA from 1 species
UCGGGAAUUUUGGGCAAUGGACGAAAGCCUGACCCAGCAACGCCGCGUGAAGGAUGAAGUAUUUCGGUAUGUAAACUUCGAAAGAAUAGGAAGAAUAAAUGACGGUACUAUUUAUAAGGUCCGGCUAACUACGUGCCAGCAGCCGCGGUAAUACGUAGGGACCAAGCGUUGUUCGGAUUUACUGGGCGUAAAGGGCGCGUAGGCGGCAAUUCAAGUCAUCUGUGAAAUCUCCGGGCUUAACUCGGAACGGUCAGAUGAUACUGCUUUGCUAGAGUGCAGAAGGGGCAAUCGGAAUUCUUGGUGUAGCGGUGAAAUGCGUAGAUAUCAAGAGGAACACCUGAGGCGAAGGCGGGUUGCUGGGCUGAUACUGACGCUGAGGCGCGAAAGCUAGGGUAGCAAACGGGAUUAGAUACCCUCGUAGUCCCUGAGCGGGCUGGCAAGGCGCAU